rnacentral:rRNA from 1 species
GAUGAACGCUGGCGGCGUGCCUAAUACAUGCAAGUCGAGCGAACAGAUGAGGAGCUUGCUCCUCUGACGUUAGCGGCGGACGGGUGAGUAACACGUGGAUAACCUACCUAUAAGACUGGGAUAACUUCGGGAAACCGGAGCUAAUACCGGAUAAUAUAUUGAACCGCAUGGUUCAAUAGUGAAAUACGGUUUUGCUGUCACUUAUAGAUGGAUCCGCGCCGCAUUAGCUAGUUGGUAAGGUAACGGCUUACCAAGGCAACGAUGGGUAGGCGACCGGAGGGGAUGCUCGGCCACAGUGGAGAGGGGAAACGCCCCCAAACCGUGAGUGAGGCACGAGAGGGAAUUCUCCGGGAGGGGGCAAAAGCCAAAAGUGGAAACGCGGCGGUAGUGUGAAAGGUCUCUGGAGCGUAAAAGCUUAUUAUUUGGGAAAAAAAAAGUUUUAUGUACCGUGGCACUUAUGACAGUACCCAAAGAAAAAGCCCCGGCUAAAUUCAUG